ACAAAUAUUUACCUGUGCUUACUUAUUAUUUCUACAGAUUUUGGACUCCAUAAUUUCACAUGGAUGCUUCUUAAGGGAAUGCAGUGUUGAACAUUCCAUAGUUGGGACACACUCAACAUUGAAGUAUGGGUCUCAACUGAAAAAUCCCUUCAAAUGGAGUUCAAAAUAGCAAUAUAUUAAGGGGAAAGGAAGUGCAUUUUGUGCUGCUGGUGGUGAUGUUCUAA